rnacentral:rRNA from 1 species
GACGAACGCUGGCGGCGUGCCUAACACAUGCAAGUCGAGCGAAGUGAGUACUACGGUACGAACUUAGCGGCGGACGGGUGAGUAACGCGUGGACAAUCUACCCUGUAGACUGGGAUAACACCUCGAAAGGGGUGCUAAUACCGGAUAAUGUCGAGAAGCGGCAUCGCUUUUCGAAGAAAGGAGAGAAUCCGCUAUAGGAGGAGUCCGCGUCCCAUUAGCUAGUUGGUGAGGGUAACGGCCCACCAAGGCGACGAUGGGUAGCCGGCCUGAGAGGGUGAACGGCCACACUGGAACAGGGACACGGUCCAGACGCCUACGGGAGGCAGCAGUAGGGAAUAUUGUGCAAUGGGGGAAACCCUGACACAGCAACGCCGCGUGAGCGAAGAAGGCCUUCGGGUUGUAAAGCUCAAUAGUAUGGGAAGAUAAUGACGGUACCAUACGAAAGCCCCGGCUAACUACGUGCCAGCCGCCGCGGUAAAAC